CCUACGGGAGGCUGCAGUGGGGAAUAUUGCACAAUGGGGGGAACGCUGAUGCAGCGACGCCGCGUGAGUGAAGAAGGAUUUCGGUAUGUAAAGCUCUAUCAGCAGGGAAGAAAAUGACGGUACCUGACUAAGAAGCCCCGGCCAAAUACGUGCCAGCAGCCGCGGUAACACGGAGGGGGCAAGCGUUAUCCGGAUUUACUGGGUGUAAAGGGAGCGUAGACGGUUAUGCAAGUCUGAAGUGAAAGCCCCAGGCUCAACCAUGGGACUGCUUUGGAAACUGUAAAACUGGAGUGCAGGAGAGGUAAGCGGAAUGCCUAGUGUAGCGGUGAAAUGCGGAGAUAUUAGGAGGAACACCAGUGGCGAAGGCGGCUUACUGGACUGUAACUGACGUUGAGGCUCGAAGGCGUGGGGAGCAAACAGGAUUAGAUACCCGAGUAGUC
rnacentral:rRNA from 1 species